rnacentral:rRNA from 1 species
UCCUAGCGGCGGACGGGUAGAGUAACACGUGGGCAACCUGCCUCAUAGAGAGGAAUAGCCUCCGAAGGGAGAUAAUACUCAUACAUUGCAGUUUCGCAUGGAACAGCAUUAAAGGAGUAAUCCGCUAUGAGAUGGGCCCGCGGCGCAUUAGCUAGUUGGUGAGGUAACGGCUCACCAAGGCGACGAUGCGUAGCCGACCUGAGAGGGUGAUCGGCCACAUUGGGACUGAGACACGGCCCAGACUCCUACGGGAGGCAGCAGUGGGGAAUAUUGCACAAUGGGGGGAAACCCUGAUGCAGCAACGCCGCGUGAGUGAUGAAGGUUUUUUCCGGAUCGUAAAACUCUGUUGUCAGAGAAGAACAAGUUGGAGAGUAACUGCUCCAGCCUUGACGGUAUCUGACCAGAAAGCCACGGCUAACUACGUGCCAGCAGCAGC